GCUUCCUCCCAGUAACAAUACUCCUUCAUCAACUGAUGACCACAAUGUGCAACCCUACACUCUCAAAAGACCGCUCAAAACUCAAUAAAUUCCAUCCAACACCAAGAAUAAUAGACUUCACUCCAACCAAUCUGAAUUCACAGAAUUCCUAUAAUCACAGACUUCCUUUGUGGAAACACACACACACAACUCUCAAUAAAUAAUAAUCAUAAUCU
rnacentral:lncRNA from 1 species